CACAGAGGGAUGGUUUUGUACUUUUGCGACGCCUUUAAAGAGAAGUCAUUACCCGCUCCUCCGACCCCCUGAAGGACACAGGCAGCGUGCUCAGGUGUAUCGGACGGAGGAUGACUUAUCGCACUGUUCCAGGGCUGAACAUUUCUGUGCAGAGGCUGGGGACAUUGAGACAGGGACCAGCUUCACGAGACACCUCCACUGAGGUUUCAAGGUCAUCACCGCAUGUCAUGGAGAAGAGGAAUGGAGGAGACUCCUCUGGUGAAAACUGCCUCUCAGUGACCAACCCACGGGUAUGAAC
rnacentral:lncRNA from 1 species